rnacentral:rRNA from 1 species
GAAGAGUAGAAGAAGAAGGAAAGGAAAGCAGCUGGAGCUUCUUUCACGUGGAUUCAAGAAAACUUUGUGCAUUGCCCGCCGGAUGCCACUUAUGAUGUGAUACAGACACAUGCUCGUGUCUAUAUGUGGUACGUUGUCUCGAGAACUUUGUUUCCUGACUCGACAUGCAAGAAUGCUCCAUGGAUGUGGCUGAAGGUGUUGACCGUCUUCAAUAGCGGAUGGAGCUAG